rnacentral:rRNA from 2 species
AACGCUGGCGGCGUGCGUAACACAUGCAAGUCGAACGAGAAUGUACUGACAGAUCCUUAGGGUGAAAAUAGUACAGGACAGUGGCGGAUGGGUGAGUAACGCGUAAGAAACCUGCCUUUCACACCGGGAUAGCAGCUGGAAACGGCUAUUAAUACCGGAUGACACUUUUUCCCCGCAUGAGGAAGAGGUUAAAGAAUUUCGGUGAAAGAUGGUCUUGCGUCUGAUUAGCUAGUUGGUGGGGUAACGGCCUACCAAGGCGACGAUCAGUAGCCGGCCUGAGAGGGUGUACGGCCACAUUGGGACUGAGACACGGCCCAAACUCCUACGGGAGGCAGCAGUGGGGAAUUUUGCACAAUGGAGGAAACUCUGAUGCAGCGACGCCGCGUGAACGAAGAAGGUCUUCGGAUUGUAAAGUUCUGUCCUGGGUGAAGAUAAUGACGGUAACUCAGGAGGAAGCCCCGGCUAACUACGUGCCAGCAGCCGCGGUAA